CCUACGGGUGGCAGCAAUUAGGAAUCUUGUGCAAUGGGGGCAACCCUGACACAGCGACGUCGCGUGGGGGAGGAAGGCCUUCGGGUUGUAAACCCCUUUUACCGAGGAAGAAACAAAUGACGGUACUCGGUGAAUAAGUCCCGGCUAACUCCGUGCCAGCAGCCGCGGUAAUACGGAGGGGACGAGCGUUGUCCGAAGUUACUGGGCGUAAAGCGCGCGUAGGCGGGAGAGUAAGUCCGCUGUGAAAGCCCGGAGCUCAACUCCGGAGGGUCGGUGGAUACUGCUUUUCUUGAAGGUGCUCGGGGGAGAUGGAAUUACCGGUGUAGCGGUGAAAUGCGUAGAUAUCGGUAGGAACACCAGUGGCGAAGGCGGUCUCCUGGGGCAUUCUUGACGCUGAGGCGCGAAAGCUGGGGGAGCGAACGGGAUUAGAUACCCCAGUAGUC
rnacentral:rRNA from 1 species